CGCAAGCCUGACGGAGCAACGCCGCGUGUGGGAAGAAGGCUCUUGGGCUGUCAACCACUUUUCUCAGGGAAGAAGCCCUGACGGUACCUGAGGAAUCAGCCUCGACUAACUCCGUGCCAGCAGCCGCGGUAAUACGGAGGAGGCAAGCGUUAUCCGGAAUUAUUGGGCGUAAAGCGUCCGCAGGGGGCACAUCAAGUCUGCUGUUAAAGCCCACAGCUCAACUGUGGAUCGGCAGUGGAAACUGAAUAACUUGAGAGCGGUAGGGGUAGAGGGAAUUCCCGGUGUAGCGGUGAAAUGCGUAGAUAUCGGGAAGAACACCAGUGGCGAAGGCGCUCUACUGGGCCGCGACUGACGCUGAGGGACGAAAGCUAGGGGAGCG
rnacentral:rRNA from 1 species